GUGUCAGCCGCCGCGGUAAUACGUAGGGGGCAAGCGUUGUCCGGAAUCAUUGGGCGUAAAGCGCGUGUAGGCGGCUAGGUAAGUCUGCUCUGAAAGCCCGGGGCUCAACCCCGGGAGGCGGGUGGAUACUGUCUAGCUCGAGUCCGGAAGAGGAGUGUGGAAUUCCUGGUGUAGCGGUGAAAUGCGCAGAUAUCAGGAGGAACACCAAUGGCGAAGGCAGCACUCUGGGACGUGACUGACGCUGAGACGCGAAAGCGUGGGGAGCAAACAGGAUUAGAUACCCCCGUAGUCC
rnacentral:rRNA from 1 species